GAUGAACGCUAGCGGCAGGCCUAAUACAUGCAGGUCGAGGGGUAGAGCGGUGCUUGCACUGCUUGAGACCGGCGCACGGGUGCGUAACGCGUAUGCAACCUACCCUUUUCUGGGGGAUAGCCCGGAGAAAUCCGGACUAAUACCGCAUAAGACCACGGUACGGCAUCGUAAUGGGGUCAAACAUUUAUGGGAGAAGGAUGGGCAUGCGUGCCAUUAGCUAGUUGGCGGGGUAACGGCCCACCAAGGCGACGAUGGCUAGGGGAUCUGAGAGGAUGGCCCCCCAUACUGGUACUGGGACACGGACCAGACUCCUACGGGAGGCAGCAGUAAGGAAUAUUGGUCAAUGGAGGCAACUCUGAACCAGCCAUGCCGCGUGCAGGAAGACGGCCCUCCGGGUUGUAAAGCUCUUUCGCAAGGGAAGAAAACUCGAUCUCUAAUAUAGGUUGAGGCUGACGGUGCCUUGAUAAGAAGCACCGGCUAACUACGUGCCAGCAGCCGCAGUAA
rnacentral:rRNA from 1 species